UACGUAGGGGGCGAGCGUUGUCCGGAAUGACUGGGCGUAAAGGGCGUGUAGGCGGCUAACUAAGUCUGGAGUGAAAGUCCUGCUUUCAAGGUGGGAAUUGCUUUGGAUACUGGUAAGCUUGAGUGCAGAAGAGGUAAGCGGAAUUCCCAGUGUAGCGGUGAAAUGCGUAGAGAUUGGGAGGAACACCAGUGGCGAAGGCGGCUUACUGGGCUGUAACUGACGCUGAGGCGCGAAAGCGUGGGGAGCGAAC
rnacentral:rRNA from 1 species